AGAGGCGGCCCUAGCGCCAUUUUGUGGGAACGAAGUGGCACCAGGGCUGUUCUGAGAUCCCUCAGUGCUACCGUUUCCCUGUCGCGCUUUUUAGCAGCAGCCUAGAGGGUGAGUCGCGGGCGCUCCUCACUGAGACGCCCUAGGUGCGUCGGUUCUCGCACUGGGGACAGCCUAAGGCAGACGGAGCGGCUUCGGCCUCCGCCCGGGAGAAGAUAAAAGAUGUCUGAAUAUAUUCGGGUAACAGAAGAUGAGAAUGAUGAACCCAUUGAAAUACCAUCAGAAGAUGAUGGAACAGUGCUGCUGUCCACAGUUACAGCCCAGUUUCCAGGGGCAUGUGGGCUGCGCUACAGGAAUCCAGUGUCUCAGUGCAUGAGGGGCGUCCGCCUAGUGGAAGGAAUUCUACAUGCCCCAGAUGCCGGCUGGGGAAAUCUGGUAUAUGUUGUCAACUAUCCCAAAGAUAACAAAAGGAAAAUGGAUGAGACAGAUGCUUCAUCAGCGGUUAAAGUGAAAAGAGCAGUCCAGAAAACAUCAGAUUUGAUAGUGUUGGGUCUUCCAUGGAAAACUACUGAGCAAGAUCUAAAAGAAUAUUUUAGUACCUUCGGAGAAGUCCUUAUGGUGCAGGUCAAGAAAGAUCUUAAAACCGGUCAUUCAAAAGGGUUUGGCUUUGUUCGUUUUACGGAAUAUGAAACCCAGGUGAAAGUCAUGUCACAACGACAUAUGAUAGAUGGGCGAUGGUGUGACUGUAAACUUCCUAAUUCUAAGCAAAGCCCCGAUGAGCCUUUGAGGAGCAGAAAGGUGUUCGUUGGGCGUUGUACGGACGACAUGACUGCUGAUGAGCUGCGGCAGUUCUUCAGUCAGUACGGAGAGGUGGUGGAUGUCUUCAUCCCCAAGCCGUUCAGGGCUUUUGCCUUUGUUACCUUUGCAGACGAUCAGGUUGCCCAAUCUCUUUGUGGAGAGGACUUGAUCAUUAAAGGAAUCAGCGUGCACAUAUCCAAUGCUGAACCUAAGCACAGUAGCAAUAGACAGUUAGAAAGAAGUGGAAGAUUUGGUGGUAAUCCAGGUGGCUUUGGGAAUCAGGGUGGGUUUGGAAACAGAGGGGGUGGAGCUGGCCUGGGAAACAAUCAGGGUAGCAACAUGGGUGGAGGGAUGAAUUUCGGGGCUUUCAGCAUUAACCCAGCCAUGAUGGCUGCAGCCCAGGCGGCGCUGCAGAGCAGUUGGGGUAUGAUGGGCAUGCUGGCCAGUCAGCAGAACCAGUCAGGCCCGUCGGGUAAUAACCAAAGUCAAGGCAACAUGCAGAGGGAGCCAAAUCAGGCUUUCGGGUCCGGGAAUAACUCUUACAGUGGUUCUAAUUCUGGUGCUGCAAUUGGCUGGGGGUCAGCAUCGAAUGCAGGCUCAGGCAGUGGUUUUAAUGGAGGCUUUGGCUCAAGCAUGGAUUCCAAGUCUUCGGGCUGGGGAAUGUAGACGGUGGGUUAUGGGGAGUUGGUACAGAAAGGUGGGGAUUUUUCUAAACUCAUGGUAAGUAUAUUGUAAAAUACAUAUGUACUAAGACUUUUCAGAAUUGGUUUGUUCAGUGUGGAGUAUAUUCAGCAGUAUUUUUGACAUUUUUCUUUAGAGAAAAGAAAAGCUAAAGGAAUUUUAUAAGUUUUGUUACAUAAAGGGUUGAAAUAUUGAGUGGUGGCUGAAAGUGAACUGCUGUUUGCCUGAUUGGUAAACCAAGACACUACAAUUGGUAUCAAAAGGUUUCUCCUGUAAUAUUUUAUCCCUGAACUUGUUAUGUGAAUUCUUUGCAUGUUCAAAGUGUUAGCCAUUGAUUAGAAAUACAUUCUUUCUCCUUUUUAAUUUGAGCCCCACCAUAUAGAUUUUUUCCUUAGGAAAUCUCCUUUUGGGAGAUCAUGCUGUCACCGUGUUUGGUUCUUUUGGUUUUGUUUUAGCACUUGUCUCCCCUCACAUACAAAAGUACAAUAUGAAGCCUUCAUUUAAUCUCUGCAGUUCAUCUCAUUUCAAAUGUUUAUGGAAGAAGCACUUCAUUGAAAGUAGUGCUGUAAAUAUUCCGCCAUAGGAUUACUUCUGUCUACAUGCUUUCUCAUUCAAGAACUCGUCAUCACACUGCACGGGCCGCGUCUUUGACGGUGGGUGUCCCAUUUUUAUCCGCUACUCUUUAUUUCAUGGAGUCGUAUCAACGCUGUGAACGCAAGGCUGUGAUAUGGAACCAGAAGGCUGUUUGAACUUUUGAAACCUUGUGUGGAUUGAUGGUGGUGCCGAGGCAUGAAAGGCUAGUAUGAGCGAGGAAAGGAGAGCGCGUGCAGAGACUUGGUGGUGCAUAAUGGAUAUUUUUUAACUGGCAAGCUGUGUCUCUCAAUCCUGUGGCUUUGGUGAGAGUGUGCAGAGAGCAAUGAUAGCAAAUAAUGUACGAAUGUUUUUGCAUUCAAGGGACAUCCACAUCUGUUGGAAGACUUUGAGUUAUGUUCUUAGAUACCCACAUUAGUUGAAUGUGUUAAGUGAAAUGAUACUUGUACUUCCCUCCCCUUUGUCAACUGCUGUGAAUGUGUAUGGUGUGUGUUCUCCUCUGUUACUGACUUGUAAGUGUGGUAACGUGAACUGAAGCUGAUGGGUUGAGAACAUGGACUGAGCUUGUGAUGUGCUUUGCAGGAGUACUUGGAAGCAGAGUUCACCAGUGAGCUCAGGUGUCUCAAAGAAGGGUGGAAGUUCUCAUGUCUGUUAGCUCCCCAUAAGAAUGCUGUUUGCUGCAGUUCUGUGUCCUGUGCUUGGAUGCUUUUAUAAGAGUUGUCAAUGUUGGAAAUUCUUAAAUAAAACUGAUUUAAAUAAUAUGUGUCUUUGUUUUGCAGCCCUGAAUGCAAAGAAUUCAUAGCAGUUAAUUCCCCUUUUUUGACCCUUUUGAGAUGGAACUUUCAUAAAGUUUCUUGGCAGUAGUUUAUUUUGCUUCAAAUAAACUUAUUUGAAAAGUUGUCUCAAGUCAAAUGGAUUCAUCACCUGUCAUGCAUUGACACCUGAUACCCAGACUUAAUUGCUAUUUGUUCUUGCAUUGUCCAAAGUGAAGUUUUUUCCUUUUUCUUUUUUUAAAUCUAGUUUUGAAUAAGUCUGGGUGACCACACGUAAAAUGGUAAGCAGUACCCUCUAGCGUUUUCUUAGUGCCUCUGUGCAUUUGGGUGAUGUUCUGUUUACAUGGCCUGUGUGAAUCUCCAUUGGGAAAUCAUGCCUUCUAAAAAUAUUCUCAUUUGGAAGAGUGGGCAAACAGUGUUGAUCAUUUUCAAAUGCUUUGUAGCAAAGCAUAUCAAUAAAAAAGGGACCAUAAGUAUCUUUCUGCUGGGAUCUGAAAAGUGGAAUUAAUUGCAAUAGGGAUAAAGUAGAAGAAACCACAAAUUACCUUGUGCCUGAAGUCCAUUAAGAAGCCCGAUAGCUUUAAGAACGAGAAGGGUGGGUCGUCUGUCUGCAGAAGUGUUAAGUGGGCUUUGCCUUCCAAGGGGGAGGUAUAGUAAUGUUGGAUAAACUCGCUUGCAGGACUCAGAUCAGACUCAUGAUGCGUUGUUAAGAUGUAAAAGCAAUAAAUUGGUUCUCUGUUGUACUGUAUAUAUAUAUGUGUGUAACCACUGUGAGAACUGAGGAGUUUGUUUUCUAACUGGAAGGCUGUGCCUGCUCUUGUGUUGGUAGUUUAUCUGAUGCCCUUACCUACUUAAAUUAUGGUAAAUAGGUUUGUCAUUUUGCAAGUUGCGUGUUUUAAACAUUUAUAAACAAAGUCAUUCUUUUGACCUGUGAUUGCCACAUUGUUUUGCUAUUCAGUUUCUUCUGUAAAAGGAUCUUGAGUUGUUCUAAUAUUUUUUUUUUUCCUGCAUCUAAAUCUGCAUGAUUUCCAAACCCUGUACCAUCUGAAUUUUGCAUUUUAGCACUUGCACUGUUACUCAGCAGCAGUAACAUGGUAACACUUAAAAUGGUAUUCGGGGACCUCCAAAGACUAAACUGACAAGCCGUCAAGGAGCCCAGGGGUAAGUUAACUCGUCAAUGGCAUGGUUUUAAUCCCUUAUUUACACUUGUUAAAAGUAGUUAUUGGUCACACAAGGCUUUGAUGAACAUGUUGUGGUACUACAUACCCAUGGCUACUUAUUCUGCCCUUAAAAAAUUUUGGAGUUUAGAAGUAUUUAAACUAUUGGGCAAAGAUUUGUUUUUGAAAGUCUUAUUUGGUCAUCUAAAUGAAUUCAUUCUAAAAAAAAUUUUUUUUUGAACCACAGUUGAAUAAAAAGUUAUGUUGCCACCACAGUUUAGUGUCUGGAGUCUUACUGGAAAAAACUUUCUUUUUCAUGUGUGACAGUUACCUUUAAAAAGUUAAUCUCAAGCAAUUGUACUUUAUAUACACAAGAGAAAUUAGACCUAAAACUUAGAUUGAAUUUUUAUAUAUAAUUACACUGUUUAGACUGAAACUCUAUGAAAGGUUUACUGUUGAAACUCUUUAGGGACUAAUAACCAACUAAAAUCAAGUGAGAUUCUAAUGAAUAGUAUUAGGAAGAAGUAGGAUGUUAGCUCCUGAGUAGCUGAUUGGUGUGUGGUGCUUAGAACUGUCCUGCUGUUGCACGCUGGGGAGGUGGCUCUGCGCUGGGCGGGAGCUCUGCGCAUCCUGUGGCUGUGGGUGGGCGUGUCCGCUGUUGGGCUUACCUUUGCCCUAGUACUUCAUGCUCACUAAGCAGAAGGAAAUCUCCAGAUUGUUUCUAAUAGUACCAGGUGGUUUUGGUUUUGCUGUGGGGCUUACUGGGAAUCAAGCCAUUUGUUUUAGUAUAUUUUAUCAUGUAAAAAUAGUAGAUUUCAGUCUGAAACACCAGUUUUUAGGCUGUGUCCAGUUCCCAGAAACAUCUUUCCAGCUAAGUUAAAUUCUUAGCACUGGGCUUAGUAAAUCAAAGAUUAUGGGUGCUUUUAAGCUUUUUGAAAUACGUUACCAAGUUGUCAUUUAUUAAGUUUGUAUUGUCUUUGACAGUGUCCAUGUUCUUUUGUCUGUUUGACAAGUGAAAAAUGCUUUGCUUUUACUUUAUUUUUUAUUUGUCGGCAGUCUGAGGAUUACACCAGGAGUCGCCCUCCUUUUUUGUUUUUGUUUUGGAGACAGGGUCUCACCAUGGAAUCUAGACUGGCCUGGGCUCCCUUACGUAGCUCAGGCUGGCCUUUAACUCAUUGUGAUCCUCCUGUCUCAGCCUCAGUGCUGGGAUUACGGGUAGGCACCACCGUGCCCAGCAUUCUUUCCUGACAUUUUUUUGAGACAGGGUCUUGAUAGGUUGUCCAAGGUAGAACUCAAACUUGGACUCCUGCCUCUUCAGUGCUAGGAUUACAGGUUUGUGCCACUUUGCCCAGGUGUGGCAUUUGUUUGUUUUUGUUGUUUGGUACCAGGAAUUGAGGGACCUUGUGCUUGUCAGGCUGGCACUAAUGCCGCUGAGCCCUGUGGCAGUGUUGGUUUUUGACAUGGAAAUUGGUGUGCUAAUUCCUGAGCUAAGGAAUUAAUGUUUGCAAUCCCACCACCUCAGAGUAAAUUCUCAGAUAUUCCUGCACGUAGUACUGCUGUAAUGUGUAAAGCGCUCUUAGAGAUCGGUGAAGAACAGAAAGUGGAGCGUGGGUGUGCGGAAAUGCCAGCGGUCACUCGGCGAUGCAGCCUCGCGAGUGAGGCUGCACUGGCGAGGAGAGACAAGGAUCACGGUGGUGAUCGUGCGCCCCGGAGAGCAGCGCGGGUACGUGGGGGCGGAGAGCAGUGUUGAUAGUUCUUGGGUUACACUGCCGCUGAACCUUUCACAGGUUCUUCUAAAAUUCAGGAAUCACUUACUGAUUCAGACAUGUAAACUAGAAGUUACUAAUUAUGUCUUUGAUCCAGGGAAUAUAGUUAAUGACUUUGGUGUAUACCCCAUACUGAUCUGCUGCCCCGCAUGUAUUGGAGCCCCAGGACACAAUCCCGCCCACAAACCAUCUCUGUGUCUCAUUGUCUAGAAACACUAAUGCCCCUCCACUGUCGCCUCCACAGCUGUCCUUGCCCCCGGCUUCUAAGCCAGCGCACAGCAUGUUGGCGGUCACUGUUCCCCCUGGGUGCUGCCGCUUGUCGUACACAGCAGUACAUUUUUGGUGAUCCACAAUGGGCAGGUCCACAAACAUUAGGUUUCUAGCAGGAAAACCUCUUUGGGUUAAUCCCCAUCCAGAUGCAGUUCCAAUGUCAUUUGUCUUCAUCAGGGAUUCCGCUUCUUUUCUUGGCAGACAAAUUGGCAUGAUGUUGCUGUUGAUUACAACUUUAUUCUUCAGUUUAAUCAGUGCUAUGUCAUUGUCGAAACCAGCGUUGUGAAUGUAACCUUCGUGGAUAAACACAGCCUCGGCCCAGGCCCGUGUGUAAUGAGGUGAUAGUCUCUGCAGGGUGCCCAUUCGAAUGUCCAGGGAGGGUGCGUCAUCUUUUUGCCCAUAGACAGCAUGAGCAGCUGUUAGGAUCCAGUCAUCAAAUAAAAGUGCACCUGCUGCUGUAGUUUGGCCUAGUAGCAGGACUUGCCACGGAAAGUCACCAGGUUUUGCAUUCUGCCCUCCAAAUAUACGUCCUCUGGUAGUAAGGUUCGAUAGUCCACAGACUGGGAAAAGAAAAGAUCACAGCUCAGUGAUUUUUUUUUUUUUUUUUUUUUUUUUUUUUUUUUUUUUUUUUUCUUUUUGAGACAGGGGCUCACUGUUCAGUUUGGGCUGGGCUUGAGUUCACUUUGUAACCCUUCUCGAACUCGAAAGGAUCCUCCUUCCUCAACCUCCUGGGAUUACAAGUGUGCACCACCAUGCCCAGCACUCAAUGAUUUUUUUUCUCACAAGUAUUCUGCUCUGGCGGUGUGGGUAUUUAGUCAACCAAAAAUUACACCCCUUAAAUUGGGUGGCCUCCAUCCAGAUAAGUGUGUCAUCAUUCAAGAUCACAUAAAUGCAUUUGGUAUUUCUUACUCUUUAGAAAAUGAAUGAAAAUUAUCUCACAAAAAUUACUUUGGCCCAAAACAGUUUUGAGUGCCCAGCUUGAGGUUAAUACAUAGAGCAGAUGGGCAUGCUCAUGCUCAGGGCGGUGCGCUUACGGAGGCAAAUGGACAGCACCCACCGCCACCACUUUUCUUCUGGACACUGGGUUAUUUACAUGAAGGUCUGGGAAAGUAGCAACUACAACGACGGUCCCUGAGGAUUUGCAGAGUUACUUUCACGUUUGAUCAUACACACACAGAAAUGAGAAUGUUGCAGUUGUAGCCAGGACCCUUCAGGUUAAGGAAUUCGUAAUUUUGGACUGGUUUUGGUUCUUUGUGUAUUUUGGUGAUAGGUUCUCACUACAUAGUUCAGGCUGACUUUAAAUUCACAAUGUAGGCUGGGCUUGAACUUGCAUCAAUCCUUCUGCCUCAGUCUCCUGAGUGCAGGGAUUAUCAGCAUGUCCCACCAUGCCUGGUUUUUGGUUCAAACACUGAAAUGUCACUGUGUCCUUAUUGCAAACUUAAUUACACUCAUUAAUGGAGCAUGUGUGUUUCCUGUUGUGGCAGUAUACGUGCAUUAAAACUUACAAACUUCAGCCAAGUAUAGGUUUAAAAAAACUAAGCCAAAUAGCACAGGAGUAAUGAAUAUAUUAUUACUUUUAGUUUUUUUUUUUUAAUCAUUCUCAGCUGUUAUUGUUGGAGCCAAUUUGGGUAGAAAAAAAUUUAAGUACUAUUAAAAGGCAUAUUGCAUUAAUGUUUAAAAACCUAGAUGUCAUUGAAAACAAUUGCUUAGGGAAAUAAUGAAGUUAUUAGCUUUGGGUUUUAAUAAUAGCAUUUUUACAGAGAAGAAAAGUAACUCAACAGAAGAACUGUUUAUAAAUGUAUACAUGGUUCGAGAUAAUUUUAAAAAUCAUUUAAUUUUUUAUGCUUGCCUAGUUACAAGGUCAGAAAUAAUCAAAUGACUAAGGGCAGUCAGCACCUCCCAGCCUCUCCACACGGAAGGGGGUAAUGAGAACGUGAUCUCCGGGAAUAAUAACUUGGCCUGAGAGCCGAGCGCGCGAGGCUCACAGACGGGCAGCGAUUUUCCUCCUUGGGAGCUUGUCCAGAAUCCGUCAGCCUCACACACAUACUCACCUGCAAACCGUCGGAUAAGCAAAACUGUAACUGCGUGUGCGGGUGCUGUCAUGCGCGCGAAUCCCCCUGGAAAAAUGUUGAUUCUCGGGCACCGGUGGGAGGUGAAGGUGCGUGGGAACCGUUUUACAUGAUUUCAUAAAUAGGAAGUCUGCAUUACCAUGUUUGCUUGCGAAGUGGAAACCUUUUAGAUGUGUAACUUGAAUAUGUAUCAAGAUCUCAAGUGCUUAAUGAUAAGGUUUUGACUUGUUAAAUUAAACCAUUUGGAAUAUA